rnacentral:misc_RNA from 1 species
GAUGAAGAACGUAGCGAAAUGCGAUAAGUAGUGUGAAUUGCAGAAUUCAGUGAAUCAUCGAAUCUUUGAACGCACAUUGCGCCCCUUGGUACUCCAUGGGGCAUGCCUGUUCGAGCGUCAUUUACACCCUCAAGCUCAGCUUGGUGUUGGGCGUCUGUCCCGCUUCGUGCGCGGACUCGCCUCAAAUGCAUUGGCAGCGGUCUUGCCAGCUUCUCGCGCAGCACAUUGCGCUUCUAGAGGCUUUGGCGGAUCGGCGUCCAUCAAGUACACCCACAGUUUGACCUCGGAUCAGGUAGGGAUACCCGCUGAACUUAAGCAUAUCAUAAGCGGAGGA